rnacentral:sRNA from 1 species
AUAUGCGCUGAAUUUUCUUAGGAAAAACGGGGGAACCAAACUUGGCAUUCAUGCCAAUGGGGUGAAUCGGAACCGGGUCGAACAGACCUCUACCGUAGGGCUAUAACCACAGCCCGAAUCCGCCAGCUAACCUCGUAAGCAAGGUGGGA